GGGUGCGAUCAUACCAGCAAUAAUGCACCGGAUCCCAUCAGAACUCCACAGUUAAGCGUGCUUCGGUGAGAGUAGUACAUGGAUGGGUGACCUCCUAGGAAGUCCUCCUGUUGCACCCUUC
rnacentral:rRNA from 1 species